ACGUACACUCCUGCGGGAGGCAGCAGUGGGGAAUAUUGGACAAUGGGCGCAAGCCUGAUCCAGCCAUGCCGCGUGAGUGAUGAAGGCCCUAGGGUUGUAAAGCUCUUUCACCGGUGAAGAUAAUGACGGUAACCGGAGAAGAAGCCCCGGCUAACUUCGUGCCAGCAGCCGCGGUAAUACGAAGGGGGCUAGCGUUGUUCGGAUUUACUGGGCGUAAAGCGCACGUAGGCGGACUAUUAAGUCAGGGGUGAAAUCCCGGGGCUCAACCCCGGAACUGCCUUUGAUACUGGUAGUCUUGAGUUCGAGAGAGGUGAGUGGAAUUCCAAGUGUAGAGGUGAAAUUCGUAGAUAUUCGGAGGAACACCAGUGGCGAAGGCGGCUCACUGGCUCGAUACUGACGCUGAGGUGCGAAAGCGUGGGGAGCAAACAGGAUUAGAUACCCGUGUAGUCCCAUGAU
rnacentral:rRNA from 1 species